UGAUGGUGGUAAGGGCAAUCACGAAGGAUGGACUUGAACCUAUCCCGUGCUUGGUAAAGAUUCUUGCCAUCUUUCUACCUAAAACUCAGAAUUUCACUUCUCAAUCA